AGUGAACGCUGGCGGCAGGCCUAACACAUGCAAGUCGAGCGGCAGCGCGUCCGACCACCCUCGGGUGGUCGGAUGGCGGCGAGCGGCGGACGGGUGAGGAAUGCAUCGGAAUCUGCCUCGUUGUGGGGGAUAACGUAGGGAAACUUACGCUAAUACCGCAUACGACCUACGGGUGAAAGUGGGGGACCUUCGGGCCUCACGCGAUGAGAUGAGCCGAUGCCGGAUUAGCUAGUUGGCGGGGUAAAGGCCCACCAAGGCGACGAUCCGUAGCUGGUCUGAGAGGAUGAUCAGCCACACUGGAACUGAGACACGGUCCAGACUCCUACGGGAGGCAGCAGUGGGGAAUUUUGGACAAUGGGGGCAACCCUGAUCCAGCCAUUCCGCGUGAGUGAAGAAGGCCUUCGGUUGUAAGCGUCUUUCUAGCAGGAACGAAACGGUAGGU
rnacentral:rRNA from 1 species